rnacentral:lncRNA from 1 species
AAAGUUAGAAUAAUAUUUCAAUCCAUCAUUAGUGCUUCAAAUAACAAAAGCUGACAUUUUGUGCUCAUUUGCAGUCAGCAGGAAUUUGGCAGGAAGAUAUCAAGUGGAGAGUUUCAGAAAUUUUCACAGAACUGAUGGGAUGUCUACACGGUGCUGUCUCUGGAUUCGAGGAACUCUUGGAAAGCAUUUUCUGUCUCCUACUGGUUAUGGAAGAAUUUUCCCUGCAAAAAUUUGUCAUGAUGCUUGAAGAAGCGGCAAGAGGUCAACUGAAUAUGGCAGCUCCCAAUGAACCUGCUACAAUACGUGACAGGCCAUCACUCAUCAGCGUUGUCAAC